GUCCCCUCCCCGGAGGAUGUGAAAGCACCCAGCCCAGCAGAGCCUCCGAGGAAAUGUCAGUACGUCACUGUGUUGGGGACGGUUUGUUACGCAGCAUCGGAUGACUGAUACACCCCCGUGCCCUGUGGCUGGGAGGUCUGUGUCCUCACAAGUUUUCUAUGAAUCCUGGUCACUUCGGGCUCUUAUUCCAAUCCCUUCAUCAGGCCCCAUUCCUUUCCCAGACCCCAUCCCUCCCUUUCCCUGGACACCCUCCCAAAUAAUCUCCGAGGCUUCCAUGAGCACCACAGAGGGCACCCAAGAUGGGGAGGCGAGGGGCGGCUCACAGGCAGGUGAGAGGAUUCCCUCUUCUUAAAACUCCUGUCACCCCACCACCACGGCUUCUCCCUUAGCCGUGGUCCCCAGCAGUCCGUCCCCCUCCCUGUCUCGGCUCUCUCCUGCCCUGUGCCCUCACCUUCCUGGCUCCCCCUGGCUCUCUGCGUGGGGCCCACUCUGAGCCUCACCUCCACCCCCACAAGACUGUCAAAGUGUUUUCCUAAACAAAGAGUGUUUUCCCUGGGAGCCUUUGACGGAUGCCGGAUGUCAAACUAAGAGUUGCACUUUUAAUCCUGCUACGUAGGUGACAGAGGACACUUGCAGGUGUCCCUCCCAUGUCCAUUCCUGUCUUCCUUUUACCUUCAGACUGCUAACAUUCAUUCAGGGUACUGAAUUUUCCAGCCUCCUCUACAGCCUCAGAGUGGACGUGAGACACCUUAUGGCCUUUGACUUGUCAACAGAAUCUGCUGGAGACUUACAGGGAUGCUUAUCCCUUCCUGAUGCAGACACUGCCCUGUCCGCUUGCUUCUUCCUGUCUAGAAUGUGGAUGCAAUGUCCGGCAGUGCAGCAGCCAUCUUAUAACCAAGAAGAGAACCACAGGCCCAGGAUGGCAGAAAGACGGAACAAGUCUUUGCUCUUGAUAACUUCCUUCUGCCACAUCUGGGCUGCUUAAUUCUGGACUCCGCGUGCCAUGUAAAAAAUAAACCUGUCUAUUUGGUUUUCUGUCUCUGCAUCUGAAUGCAAUCUUACCUGAUUCCAGAGGCAAACACAUUUUGAUUUCAAAACCCUUUCCUUUUCCUGCUGUCACUCCAGGAAAGAGGAUGACGAUGUCAACCACAGCAAGUUGCUAAUGAUGUCAAUCAAAAGUGCUCAAGGAACGUCACCUGCAGCCGUUGACGGUGGAAAGAAACGCUGGGACUCCAUCUUGUCCCAGAAUGGCAGGAGCCUCCUUGGGGCAGAGACGGUGCCUUUGUCAUGCAGCAUGAGGGGACCUGGGGACAUCAGGGGAGCGAAUACCCGAUGCAGAAUGCCCCAGGGAAGAGCCGGUCAGCGGGCUGGGCUUCGGAGCCUCUGUCUGGUUUGGGCUGGCCCUGAGGUGGCGGCUGGGCACCCAGGCAGACCCCUCGGGAAGCAGCUCAUCAGCACCGCGGUCCCCACUCCUGGCUGCCACCUGAGCCCAGCCACCCGCUCGGGCAGAGAACCUCGGGUGGGC
rnacentral:lncRNA from 1 species